rnacentral:rRNA from 1 species
UACGGAGGGGGCUAGCGUUGUUCGGAAUUACUGGGCGUAAAGCGCACGUAGGCGGCUUUGUAAGUUAGAGGUGAAAGCCCGGAGCUCAACUCCGGAAUUGCCUUUAAGACUGCAUCGCUUGAAUCAUGGAGAGGUGAGUGGAAUUCCGAGUGUAGAGGUGAAAUUCGCAGAUAUUCGGAAGAACACCAGUGGCGAAGGCGACUCACUGGACAUGUAUUGACGCUGAGGUGCGAAAGCGUGGGGAGCAAACAGG